AUUCUGCAGCCCCGGGGAGACAGAAGUACAGCCCACGUUUUCUAGAACCACAGGAGAGGAACAAAGCUGGGGAACGAAUGGUUGUAGCCGUUGUCGUCCGGAGAUGGUGCCAAAAAGUGGGUUGUGUGUGUCCACGUAGUCUGACCCUGGCCCUCGUCGGUGUGCAAAUGCAGCAAUUCUGCCCACCUGCCUGCCCUUCCCACCCAUUCUGUUGGCGCGCACUGUGGAGCUAUGGCGCCCCCUGCCUGUAAAUGCCUUCUGCACUGACUUCUGGUCAACAGCCUGUUUUCAGGGCGGACUCAAAAUACGCGGCUCAGAAGGGCGACCCCAAACAGGACCUGUCGCAAACGUGACAAGCCGAGUUGAGAAUACCAGGCCCUUCCGUAAACUUUGGAAACUGACAAUCCUUCUCACCACCAAGAAGUGUUCUGAUGUCCUUCCUCUAGCCCGUCUUCAUCCCAGGAGCUCCAUUUCCAUCCCCAUUCAGAUAGCUCUUGGCUAAGAGCUUAAAACAGGCCAAGUACUAGCAGCACAGCUGGUUCAUGCCACUGUGACCAAGCCUUACUGUGUGCCGAGGGUUUGCUUCCAAAACCAGGCCAGUGGUCAAGCCGGAGGACCCCAGGAGACUGCCAGCAGUAGACAGACCCUGAGGAUGCGUAUAAUCCUACUAGCAUGAGUUCAUUUCUUCAAAGAAGUGUUGGCAAGGCUCUUGCCCUGGGGCCUCACAAUGCAGACUCCCGAUUUUCAAGUUCUCAGCAAACAUCAAGAAAAUUUUACUUUGUGGAGUAACUACCAACCUCAGUUCUCGUUUCCCCGCCCCCUCCCUAUUUGCUCCAGGACACGCGAUACACGGCUCCACCACCAGAGGGCAGCAGCGACCGCCCGUGGAAACUCAAAAGGCAACCGGGACCGGGUGGGUGGAAACCUGAACCUAUCUCCAGCUGUCAGAGAGGAGCCCCUCUUGUCACUGGAUCAAGGGCGCCAUAGACAAAUGUUCAGCAACUCAUUCGUUCCUUUUUUGCAACUUGUUUAUUGAGAAACAACCAUGUUCCUGCCUGUAAGGAGCUCAGUCUGGAGGAGGCAGUGUGUUGGGAGUUCCCGAGACCAGAGAGAUCAAUUUGGAGACUACAGCUGAGGGACCAGGAAGGUUGUGUUUGUUAUACUGGGUACAGUUGCACAGACGGCGAGCCAAUAGAGGCUGGAGGAGUGCUCAACUUGGGCAAAUGUACCGCAGCUGGAAAACCUUCUUUAGGUUUUCAGUGAUGAUGAGGGAGACAGGCCCAAGUAGUUGUCAAGGUAACGGGCUAAAUCAGGGAGGGCCUGAGUGCUGGUUGAAGGGGGCAGGAGAAUAGCUGCAAAAGAGACACCACAGGAUGCAAGAGAGUCCUGUCAAAACCAAGCAGGGGAGGAGAGGCUAGGGGUAUCUCUUAGUGGCCAUUGAAGAUGGCCAAAAAAAAAAAAAAGGGAAGGGCAAUUUCCAUUGAUAUGCCAGAGGUGAGGUUUCUCAGGAGACUAGAGCAGGCUGCUCUAUCGUGGAAUAACAAUCGCACAAAGAGAGGGAGGCUGAGAGGGAGACUUGGAGUCAGCGGGGCCCCACUUACCUUUGCAGGACCCCAGGUUUCUUCUCUCAGGCUUUGGCUUGGCUCUCGACCCAGAGACUGGCUGGCUGCGUUUGCCAGGGGGAGAAUUCACUUCUAAGAAAAAGAACUUGUUCUACUCCAUAUAACCAAGAGAGGGCUCCUGGCUUCCCACAAGCUGCUGUGUGCGCUCCCUCUUCAUCCUCGGUGACAGAGCCAGUCUGCAGGAAGCUGCACGGAGGAAAUGACCAAAAGCAACUAGCUCUGGCUCGGGUGUGGGGCACACGGCCACCAGUUCCAGCCUGCCUACCCAACCCAGCCCCACCUCAGUGGGAGGCUGGCAGAGCCCCAGCAGUACCAGGCCUAGAGUGUCGGAUUUGGACUCGGCUCUCCUGGUGAUGGUGGGGCUGGAGCUGUAGCUAAAAAUAGCCAGGAAUCCAGCCAGCUGCUGUAGAGAGCCUCCUCAGAGGUCAAGCCAGGCCAAGCUGGCCCGGCUGAGGAGAUACACACUCACUCACCCAGGGUGGCUUGCACCCUCAUCUGCAAGAUGUUCUGGGGGCCUGGGUCACUCUCGAUUGUCCAGGAAUUCCUGGAGAGCAGUGGAAAGCAAGAAAUUUCUUUCACUGGUUCUUGCCUCAAAACCCCUCAGGGAGCCUCCAGGACUACAACACAGAUCCCGGGGAGCAGAGGGUGACAGACUGUGGACUUUCAGGACAAAGUACAAAUUUGGGGGGGGUGUGGAGGCUGCACCCACCAAUCCCCUUCCCAGAGGCCCCAUAAAUCAAUUAUUGAGCUAUCCAAA